AUUGAACGCUGGCGGCAUGCCUUACACAUGCAAGUCGAACGGCAGCACGGGGGCAACCCUGGUGGCGAGUGGCGAACGGGUGAGUAAUGCAUCGGAACGUACCCGGAAGUGGGGGAUAACGUAGCGAAAGUUACGCUAAUACCUCAUAUUCUGUGAGCAGGAAAGAGGGGGAUCGCAAGACCUCUUGCUUUCGGAGCGGCCGAUGUCGGAUUAGCUAGUUGGUGGGGUAAAGGCCUACCAAGGCGACGAUCCGUAGCGGGUCUGAGAGGAUGUUCCGCCACCCUGGGACUGAGACACGGCCCAGACUCCUACGGGAGGCAGCAGUGGGGAAUUUUGGACAAUGGGGGCAACCCUGAUCCAGCCAUGCCGCGUGAGUGAAGAAGGCCUUCGGGUUGUAAAGCUCUUUCGGCCGGGACGAAAUCGCAUCUCCUAAUACGGGGUGUGGAUGACGGUACCGGAAUAAGAAGCACCGGCUAACUACGUGUCAGCAGCCGCAGUAAGAC
rnacentral:rRNA from 1 species